rnacentral:rRNA from 1 species
UGGGGAAUUUUGGACAAUGGGCGAAAGCCUGAUCCAGCAAUGCCGCGUGUGUGAAGAAGGCCUUCGGGUUGUAAAGCACUUUUGUCCGGAAAGAAAUCCUUGGCUCUAAUACAGUCGGGGGAUGACGGUACCGGAAGAAUAAGCACCGGCUAACUACGUGCCAGCAGCCGCGGUAAUACGUAGGGUNCAAGCGUUAAUCGGAAUUACUGGGCGUAAAGCGUGCGCAGGCGGUUUGCUAAGACCGAUGUGAAAUCCCCGGGCUCAACCUGGGAACUGCAUUGGUGACUGGCAGGCUAGAGUAUGGCAGAGGGGGGUAGAAUUCCACGUGUAGCAGUGAAAUGCGUAGAGAUGUGGAGGAAUACCGAUGGCGAAGGCAGCCCCCUGGGCCAAUACUGACGCUCAUGCACGAAAGCGUGGGGGAGCAAAACAGGAUUAGAUACCCUGGUAGUCCACGCCCUAAACGAUGUCAACUAGUUGUUGGGGAUUCAUUUCCUUAGUAAACGUAGCUAACGCGUG